CAGGUUUUUUGCGAAAAUCAGUGAACUAAUAUUGGUAAAAUUGGAGCCCCAUGGAUGAAGGGUACUUUUCGGCCCCUGAGCUGCCCUCGCUGCUGCUUUGGUAAAGGCUUACAACGAAAGAGAGUCACAGCCACUGGCGAAUCCAGUUUGUGCAAGCAGCAUCAGCAAUGGAUGAGACCUCCCCCAGGCUGGAAGAAGACUGGAAAAAAGGACUUCAGCGAGAAGCGAGCUGGCAGGAGAACUCAAACAUAAAUGAACUUUAAAGGUUGAAACUUUCCACCUGCCUAGUUUCCAGUGAGGAGGCUGCUCAGGAACUGAGAAUUGUUCAGAGAGAAAAUGAGAGACUUGAGAGGAGGCAGAAGCAUAGAGUCUGGCAUGGGAAGGGACUUUAGGGUCAUUUAGCCCCACUUGCUGCUGUCAGUGACCCUUGGGAAAUGUGUGUAAAAUCAGUAUGCAUGUCUAAAAUUCAAUAGUAUAUCUAGCCUCAUCAAUCAAGAUAUGAAUUGGA